rnacentral:rRNA from 1 species
GACGAACGCUGGCGGCGUGCUUAACACAUGCAAGUCGAACGGUGAAGGGACCGGUUUUUGCUGGUUCUGGAUGAGUGGCGAACGGGUGAGUAACACGUGAGUAACCUGCCCCCUUCUUCUGGAUAACCGCAUGAAAGUGUGGCUAAUACGGGAUAUUCUGCGCCUGCUGCAUGGUGGGUGUGGGAAAGAUAUUGUUUCGGUGGGGGGUGGGCUCGCGGCCUAUCAGCUUGUUGGUGGGGUGAUGGCCUACCAAGGCGGUGACGGGUAGCCGGCCUGAGAGGGUGGACGGUCACACUGGGACGGAGACACGGCCCAGACUCCUACGGGAGGCAGCAGUGGGGAAUAUUGCACAAUGGGCGCAAGCCUGAUGCAGCGACGCCGCGUGAGGGAUGGAGGCCUUCGGGUUGUAAACCUCUUUCGCCAGUGAAGCAGGCCUGUCCCUUUUGUGGGUGGGUUGACGGUAGCUGGAUAAGAAGCGCCGGCUAACUACGUG